GGAAUAUUGGUCAAUGGCCGAGAGGCUGAACCAGCCAUGCCGCGUGCGGGAGGACGGCCCUAUGGGUUGUAAACCGCUUUUGUUGGGGAGCAAUAAGGGUCACGUGUGGCCUGAUGAGAGUACCCAGCGAAUAAGCAUCGGCUAACUCCGUGCCAGCAGCCGCGGUAAUACGGAGGAUGCGAGCGUUAUCCGGAUUUAUUGGGUUUAAAGGGUGCGUAGGCGGAGCUUUAAGCGUGAGGUGAAAUGCCCGGGCUCAACCUGGGGACUGCCUCGCGAACUGGUUGUCUUGAAUGCUCAUGCCGUGGGAGGAAUGUGUGGUGUAGCGGUGAAAUGCAUAGAGAUCACACAGAACACCGAUUGCGAAGGCAUCUCACGAACGGAUGAUUGACGCUGAGGCACGAAAGCGUGGGGAUCAAACA
rnacentral:rRNA from 1 species